AUUGUGAGAAAAAAAGUCGCAAUUACCUCUUUUAUUUUUUAUUCAGUGGCGGAAACGGGCUUCCAUGCAAUUGGCAUGGCUACAGUUCUCAGAAAUAAUAAUUUUGUCCAUUAUCCAGUAGCUUCCCGGAGAGAGAUCUUCAUGGGUUUUGCCCACAACAAAACUUGACCAUGUAACUCCUUGUCAUUGCUGGUUUCAAAGCACAAGAUAAAGACAAAGCACGAGAUUAGGGGUGCUCCGAUUGAUCGGCAGUCCCUCUAAAGGCCGAUGUCAUAAACCGAUCUCAAGCUGACGAUGCGCCUGUCGUGAGAGGUUUGGCAUGACAUACAGCGGCACGGUCUCAAGCUCUGUCCGGUGCGGGUAAAAUAAUUAUAAUGCUGAAGAUAUUGCUUCCUGUGAUUGACGAUCAGUGAUCAGCUCCGAAAAUCCUAAGCACCCUUACACGAGAUCACUCUGCUGUGAGGGUGUAUGGCAAGAUCCCAAGACAUGUUGGGAUCAAGAGAAAUGCCAAGAGAAAUGCCUGACAUGCCAACGUGUACAUCCCGAGAAAAAAAGAAUAUGAGCAUCAACUCACAUCAUGAAAUAAUAAAUGAUGAGCAUUG